GAACGCAUAUUGCGCCCGCCAGCACUCUGGCAGGCAUGCCUGUUCGAGCGUCAUUUCAACACUCAGGUCUUAGUCGCCUGGCGUUGGGGCGCUGCGGCACGGCCCGCAGGCCCCAAAUAUAGCGGCGGACCCGCCGCGGCCCUGAGCGCAGUAGUUGACAAAGCCUCGCUCCGGCGGCCGCGGCGCGGCCCUGCCCCCGCCCAACAGCGCGAAACGCGCGAGCAAAGUUGACCUCGGAUCAGGUAGGACUACCCGCUGAACUUAAG
rnacentral:misc_RNA from 1 species